GGCGAUUGUUCCGACACCUUCGCCGCGGCAUUGACGUGGGCUGGAGCGGGACAGCGAUGGGGUCUCCCAGCCGAUCGCAGCCAAGCAAACCGCGCUCCGGCAGCAGCGCCGGCGGGACCGGCGACCCGUGGCGUGCGGAGGCAGCCGCGGCCCCGCGCCUGCACGGGGAAGGGGCUGCUCUGCCCGGGUGCAGCGUGGGGACGCUGACCCACGGCGCGGGACGCUGACCCACGGCGCGGGAUGCUGACCCACAGCACAGGGAUGCCGACCCACACCGAAGCCCUGCUGCGUGGGGGGUGCCGACCGGCCAGUCCCUGGGAAUGGGGGCGCUGGGAACCUCCCUCCGCGCGCAGGGAAAUGCCCCCUGCCCUCGCGGUCUGGAGAGUGUUUAUUCGAGAGGUGAUACUUAAGUGUAAGAAAAUAAACAGGGAGCAGAUGGCACGGGGGGCCGGGGCUGCCCCCAGCCCCACGGGGCCCUCACAGCCCUGCUGGGAAAACA